CUUCCUUUGCUGGCGACCGGCGCACGGGUGAGUAACACGUAUCCAACCUGCCCUUUACUCGGGGAUAGCCUUUCGAAAGAAAGAUUAAUACCCGAUAGCAUAAUGAUUCCGCAUGGUUUCAUUAUUAAAGGAUUCCGGUAAAGGAUGGGGAUGCGUUCCAUUAGAUAGUAGGCGGGGUAACGGCCCACCUAGUCUUCGAUGGAUAGGGGUUCUGAGAGGAAGGUCCCCCACAUUGGAACUGAGACACGGUCCAA
rnacentral:rRNA from 1 species